rnacentral:rRNA from 1 species
UACGUAGGCAGCAAGCGUUGUUCGGAAUUACUGGGCGUAAAGAGUGUGUAGGCGGUGCUUUAAGUUCGGUGUGAAAUCUCCCGGCUUAACUGGGAGGGUGCGCCGGAAACUGGAGUGCUCGAGCGUGGGAGAGGAAAGCGGAAUUCCUGGUGUAGCGGUGAAAUGCGUAGAUAUCAGGAGGAACACCUGCGGUGUAGACGGCUUUCUGGACCAUUGCUGACGCUGAGACACGAAAGCGUGGGUAGCAAACAGG